AGAGUUUGAUCCUGGCUCAGGACGAACGCUGGCGGCGUGCUUAACACAUGCAAGUCGAACGGUAAGGCCCCUUCGGGGGUACACGAGUGGCGAACGGGUGAGUAACACGUGAGCAACCUGCCCUUGACACUGGGAUAAGCGAUUGAAAAGUCGUCUAAUACCGGAUAUGACUCUCACAGGCAUCUGUGAGGGUGGAAAUGCUCCGGCGGUCAAGGAUGGGCUCGCGGCCUAUCAGCUUGUUGGUGAGGUAACGGCUCACCAAGGCUUCGACGGGUAGCCGGCCUGAGAGGGCGACCGGCCACACUGGGACUGAGAUACGGCCCAGACUCCUACGGGAGG
rnacentral:rRNA from 1 species